rnacentral:rRNA from 1 species
UUAGCGGCGGACGGGUGAGUAACACGUGGGCAACCUGCCUGUAAGACUGGGAUAACUUCGGGAAACCGAAGCUAAUACCGGAUAGGAUCUUCUCCUUCAUGGGAGAUGAUUGAAAGAUGGUUUCGGCUAUCACUUACAGAUGGGCCCGCGGUGCAUUAGCUAGUUGGUGAGGUAACGGCUCACCAAGGCAACGAUGCAUAGCCGACCUGAGAGGGUGAUCGGCCACACUGGGACUGAGACACGGCCCAGACUCCUACGGGAGGCAGCAGUAGGGAAUCUUCCGCAAUGGACGAAAG